CUCUCUUCAGCAUUGACUGGAUAUGCACUAGGCGCUGGGUAUGAGCUUUAAACCUGUCAUCUGAGUCACUCUCACUCUCACUGUUCUCAUCUCUCAGGGAUGCAGUCUCAAUGUUGGACAUAGAAAGUUUCUUCAAUCGUUUUUUCCCUCUUUUUGCACUGUAGAUGGAAUUGAUUCUCUGGACAAGCUUUGGGAUCCUCCUGGCCCGGCGUGUAGACAGCAGCUCACUUGCAGUACUCAGACUGUCCUCAUUAAGGCUGGAGGGGGAGGAGGGAAUGCCAAGCUGAGCCAGCAGCAGCAUAUCAUCAUGGCUGUGCCGCUUGGGUAGCCGUGGUAAGCGGUGGGUCUUCCUUUCUGACCAGUUCCCAACGCGCAGAGACUGGCUGCUGGGCUUUGAAGGUAGCUGGGGAGGUGAU
rnacentral:lncRNA from 1 species